UACGGGGGGGGCAAGCGUUGUUCGGAAUUACUGGGCGUAAAGGCUCGUAGGCGGCCAACUAAGUCAGACGUGAAAUCCCUCGGCUUAACCGGGGAACUGCGUCUGAUACUGGAUGGCUCGAGUUUGGGAGAGGGAUGCGGAAUUCCAGGUGUAGCGGUGAAAUGCGCAGAUAUCAGGAGGAACACCGGUGGCGAAGGCGGGUCUCUGGGCCGAUACUGACGCUGAGGAGCGAAAGCGUGGGGAGCGAACAGG
rnacentral:rRNA from 1 species